UGGGUUUCUUUAUUUAUUGGACACUUUGGUUUUUUUUUAAUCUCCCUGUUUUAAAAUCAGCUGAUUAGCAAGCAAUCUUAAUUGUAUCUGCAACUUUAAUUCCUCUUUGCUGUGUAAUGUAACGUAUUCACAGGUUCCAGGGAUAUCUUUGGGGGGCUGUUAUUCUGCCUGCCACAACUAUAUUGUGCAAGAUGGACAUUCAAUCUAUCAACGGUGCUGAAAUCUUAGAUUUGUUCAGCAACUUUACACAGUCUUCUAUAUGCCCGAAAGAUGUGUUCCAAGCAAGCUAUGCUUCUCUGGGCAAAACAGCCCCACCAAGUCUUGUCAACUUCUCCUUUGGGAGAUGCAGAGACUGGAGGGAGGGGUGGGGAAGACGGGGGAUGAGGCUAGACACCUGUCCCUAGUGGAAAAAGGAACACACCUGGAGAGCAACUCAGACAAAGGGAGCCAAGGGGGAAAAAACAGUAAUUGGAGAGGAGACUGCUUCCAAUCUGUUGCUGGGUUUAUAAGGUAAAUCUAUUCCUGGAGGAAAGGGAUAUAGUAGCUGCACACUAAAAACUGGGACAAGGCGUGUCUAUGCCAAACUGUAUCUUUUUCAAGAAGUUUUGAAGCCCAGUUUGAAUCAAGUGACCUGCCUGAGAUUGCCAGGUGUCCUGUGCACAUCUCAUUCAUUCAUUCAUUCAUUCACUCACUUAGUCAUAUUGAGCACCUAACAAGCUCUAAGCACUGUUGAUAAAAAAGUAAACAAGGCAUAAUAGUACUUAGCACACUGCAUUUAUUUGCAUUGGUUUUGGCUUUUUCUCUCCCACAGCAGCUUCUAGGAAGGGGCCCUAUUUCAUUUUUGCAUCCUCAGUGCCUAGAACAAGUGCCUGGAACAGGUUAGGUGCUUAAUGAACGAAAAAAUGACUUUAAAGCAUACUUUUCAUAGGGGGCUAUGUUCUCAAACCCGUAGCCCUAUUUAGGGGGGAGAAGGGAUGACCGGUACACAUGACAAGAACGGGCAAGUCAUCUUUAAUCGGAGUACACACAGCAAUCCAGUUUUCCUGUGGCUUCUAGUCCUCAAGUCAAUGGCCACGACGUCCCGCAGCGCCACGGCUCGCCGUAUGGACUUGGGCGGGUUCUCGGUCAGGUAGAUGAGCCGAUCGCUGAGCACCACGUACUUGAAGGUGUGCUUCUCCGAGUCGGACACCACGAUGCACGGCUCGUAGGCGCGGACGGCGUCGUAGACCUCGGGCGGCAGCUGCCUCCGCAGGAACGCGUCCAGACGGCUAUUCGUGUGCGCAGGGAAGCCAGACCUUGCGGGGCCUGCCAUGCGCGGCGUCCGCGCCCGG